rnacentral:rRNA from 1 species
GACGAACGCUGGCGGCGUGCUUAACACAUGCAAGUCGAACGGAAAGGCCCUGCUUUUGUGGGGUGCUCGAGUGGCGAACGGGUGAGUAACACGUGAGUAACCUGCCCUUGACUUUGGGAUAACUUCAGGAAACUGGGGCUAAUACCGGAUAGGAGCUCCUGCUGCAUGGUGGGGGUUGGAAAGUUCCGGCGGUUGGGGAUGGACUCGCGGCUUAUCAGCUUGUUGGUGGGGUAGUGGCUUACCAAGGCUUUGACGGGUAGCCGGCCUGAGAGGGUGACCGGCCACAUUGGGACUGAGAUACGGCCCAGACUCGUACGGGAGGCAGCAGUGGGAAAUAUUGCACAAUGGGCGGAAGCCUGAUGCAACAACGCCGCGUGCGGGAUGACGGCCUUCGGGUUGUAAACCGCUUUCGCCUGUGACGAAGCGUGAGUGACGGUAAUGGGUAAAGAAGCACCGGCUAACUACGUG